GAGUCAUGCAAGGGAAAGAGAGGAGCGGCCUCAGGUUCCUAGAGAGCCCCAAGGGAGCUGAGAGAAUACAGAGCUCCGAUUCCUAGAGGGUCCUCCAAAAGAGAGAGAGAAGAUUCAGAUUCCUAGAGAGUCUCCCAAGGGGAGAGAGAACGGAGAGCCCAGGUUCCUAGAGAGUCCCCAAAGAGGCCUUAGAGCCGAGGCUCAGAUUCCUAGGGAGUCCGCGAAGGAGGAGAGAGCAGAGAGGUCUGAGAUUCCUAGAGAGGCAGGGAAAGUGUUUGGAAAGGCCUGGUGUUUGUGGGAGAGAGAGAGAGAGAGGAGGAGGAAGGAGAACCGAGAGGCACAAAUGUUCCUGACUCUCUUACCUUCACAACAACCCAGUGAGGUAGGCACAAGAGAGAGACCAUGAAGACCACAGACUAACCUUAUGACCAU